CCUACGGGUGGCAGCAGUGGGGAAUUUUGCGCAAUGGGCGAAAGCCUGACGCAGCAACGCCGCGUGAGGGAUGAAAUAUUUCGGUAUGUAAACCUCGCAAAUAUGGGAAGAACAAAAUGACGGUACCAUAUGUAAGCCCCGGCUAACUUCGUGCCAGCAGCCGCGGUAAUACGAAGGGGGCAAGCGUUGUUCGGAAUUACUGGGCGUAAAGCGCGUGUAGGCGGCUCUUCAAGUCAGGCGUGAAAGCCCCGAGCUCAACUCGGGAACUGCGUUUGAUACUGUCGAGCUAGAGUGUGGAAGAGGCAAUCGGAAUUCCAUGUGUAGCGGUGAAAUGCGUAGAUAUACGGAGGAACACCAGAGGCGAAGGCGGAUUGCUGGGCCAACACUGACGCUGAGACGCGAAAGCUAGGGUAGCAAACGGGCUUAGAUACCCCAGUAGUC
rnacentral:rRNA from 1 species